GGAUGGGAAGAGGUCGACUCCCAGCUUCUCGUGCUGGGGGCCUGGCCCUGGGGUCCUGGGGCGGAUGCCCUCCUAGCUCCUAGCGACUCUCUUAGUUGCAGGCCUGGCUGCAACCGCCCAGUGGGCGGUGCCAGGGCAGGUUUCAGGCUAUAAAGGGCUCUUGGCUCCCCAGGCCUGAGGGAACGCCAUCUCUGCGGCAGUGUCCCUGCCAGCCACAACCAGCUUGGGGCACUGCCGGUGUCCCAUCGCCACCGGGCAGCCUACGCUUUUCCAGGCCGUGCCGAUUCCGAUUCGGACACAGCUGUCAGCUGCGUUCCUCGUACCCACCCGUUCUCUCCAUCGGGCUGUGUGGGGAUGAAACGAAACAGCAGCUGCAGAGACGUGUUGUCUUCACAGGUCUACACACAUGCAAGGGGUUUGGAAGGUGCAAUGUCUUUAUUCCUUUGGGCAUCCAAAGUCCGGGACAUCCCGGGGAGGGAGCUUUGUGGCUUGGGGAGGGACAGGGCAGGGCUUGAGGUAGAAUUGCCCCUGUGGAGGGACGUUUUCUCUGCCCCAGGGAAGAGGGCACAGAGGCUGUGCCUUGCCCAUUGUCUGCAUAUUCCGAGAGUACUGAAGCCCGCCCCCCAUGGUCCCCCAGCCCCUCUGCCCAAGUUCAUCCAGACAGAACUCUGCGUGAACCAGCAUCCCCACGACUGACCCCUCAGUCUGUUCUGACUGAUUUCAAGGUGCCUGGAGAGCCACGGGGACAUGGGAGGCAAGCCGUGAGCCAAGGCUCUAGAGGACUGCCGGCAAUGGGAAGCCCCGGGGUGUGCCCUGGGACCCCAUGGACAAGGGCUGUGGGUGGGGGGUGUCUGGGAGUUCUGUGAUUCAGCUGCAGCCAUCUGGAGGGAGAAGGAAGCUCACUGGGGAAUGGCCGAUCAUUCUCAGGCCAGAAUGAGGAAUUCCCUCCUGUGGCCCACUCCUGCUCCCAGAACCUCACGGGGCCAGCUGUGCCCACCUUUGGGCCACCCCCCAAGGGGCCAGCCACACUCCUCUGGCCAAAGGUGGGGUUGCAUGAUGCUUGAUGGGACUGGGGUCCAGUCUGGGGUCAGGGGUAGGGUCAAUCUGUGACGAGGACUAAGGGUCAGUCUGGGAUUAGGUUCAGGGGUCUGUCUCAGGUCAGGGUUAUGGGUCAGACUGAGGUCUGGGUCAGGGCUCCGACUGGGGCCAGGGUCAGAAGUCCAUCUGAGGUGGAUGAAGGAAUGGCUUCUGAUGGAACCUGACUGGUAAAGAUGGUUGCUGACCCUUCUCUGUCUAGGGCCCCUCUUAACGAGCUGCUCCACAGCCCCGGCGUGCCUCCUUGCCCCAGAUUCUCAGGCAAGACUUAGAGAAUUAUAUUAUAAACACUAUGGCUUUCCUUCUCGUUUUCCCUAAGAACUCUUUGGGAUUGGAGCAGAGAGAUGGUUCCAAUUAGGAAACCCAGCAACUACUGUGUGGGGCCAUGCUCUCCCUGUGGACAUCCCUGAGCCCCCUGUUGGUGGCUGGGCAAUAAGGACUCAGAAUGACUCCCCCGUGCCCCUCCCAACUCCCACUCUACACCUGGGCAGGAGGAGAGGAUGAAAGUGCCCAAAAUCUGUCCUGGGGAAGUAGGGCAGGGGAGGGGAAGUUAAUGAGUUCCCAGAGUUCUGGGGCUGUGAUCCCGCAGGGCAGACUCCUCCUGGGGACUCUGGAGGUUGGUGACUGGGAGGUGGGUGUUGUGUGAAUUUGUUGACAAUGAUUCUCUAGGUGUGUGUGCCUGCCUGUGCAUGUAUGUGUGCUCAGUAUCUGCCUGUGCAUCUAUUUGCAUCUCUAUAAGGCUGUGUGGCCAUCCUUUCAGAGAUGGAUGUCUCCACGGGUCGGUUCCCCGGGGUCAUCUUGCCCUUUUCACCACCCUGGGACCCAUGCUGUGUCUGGGGGUCAGGCUAGAUUCUUUGGGCUCUUCAAAACAGCAGAGCCUCGACAGUCUCCCCCAGCCCCAUUCUCGUUCAGCUUCACCCCAGAUGGAGAGCUAAGUGGCGCUGGCCUCACCACUCCUGGGUACCCAGUCCAGAGUUGACUGUCCCGUGAAAUGUCCUUGUUGCGAGGAUGUGCUCCAGCUGUCUAUUUCUGGGGUCAUAGUGGUCCUGACAGGGACUUUGUGAAUGUCUGGGCCCCAAGCCGCCUGGAGGGGAAAUCUGAGGGCCCUGGGGCUGGAGUAGAGCCCUUGGGGAACCUACAAGAGGGGCUGAUCCCGCUCUGUGAAGGGAGAUUGAGGGACGGGGGAGUCGGAAUUGCUUCCCCCUGAAUCCGUAGUACUACAACUGUCCACUAGGUGGGGUUCCAGGGCAGAGAGUGAGAAUAGGGAUGACCCAGCGCUAGUAGCAAGAGACCAGCUUUUAAAUCUCCGCCCGCCACAGCAACCUCGGAAGCGCUCACACAGGGAGGGACAGCACAUAUGCUCGCACCUUAGACGCUCACACACAUUUUCUUCUAGUGAACUCUAAAAUAGAACUCACAUUGGGUGCAGGGGAGGUGUUAAAAGGGGAGUCUAGUUUCGUUUACACGCGCACUAUCCUAAACUGAAGGUGGGAUGUCAAGUCUUCUGCUCCGGGAGUGCGAGAGUGAACGACAGAGACAGGGGGCUGGGGGAACAGGACGCACGGGAGAGGGAGAGCCAGGCACUGGCGAGACGAUGUCGGGGUUGGCAUGCACAGCUCCAUGUAUCACAGACACGCAGGAGGAAAGGCCAGAUGACAGACGGAUGCACCAUGCACAGACACACAUACAGCUCCAGAGAGAACACACAAACCCGCAGACACAUCACACAGCUCCACAGACGUCGGGCCGACCCAGGGACACACACGCGCGCACACACAGGUGCGGCCCCGGGCCACACGCACACCUCGCACAGGCACGCGCGCCGGCCCUCUGCGGCCGGCUGGGAGAAGGUGGCCGCGCUCACCGGGCAUGUUUAUUUACUCAUUUGUAUCAAUGAACGUUUGUACCCGACUCCUCCCGCCUCCGGGUGCCAGGGCCGCCGCGUUUGUCCUCGGCGCGGGACACUCACCGGGACCAGCAUCGGGGUUCCUCGGACGCUGCAGGGGGAGGAGGGGACUACAAAGUUAGGGGGUCUCGAGGUGUCCGAGAGGAGGG
ensembl:lncRNA